rnacentral:tRNA from 1 species
GGCCAGGUGGGUGAGUGUCCAGGCAGGAGCCCGCAAAGCUUCGUACGUCCGGUUCGACUCCGGACCCCGGCCUCCA